UAAAAAGCGAUGAUCAAGAACCAGUAACAGUUUUACCAAAUCCUUCAGAGAGCCUUCGGCCGGUGAAAGAAGGCAGGAUACGGUAUUGUGAAUUCAUCUUGGGAGCUGUGCGCUCAAAGGCAAAUGCCCUGUAGGUGGCUUCGGGAUCCGCCCGUUAUAGUGGAAGAACAAUAUUGGUUGUUCGUGUGAGAUUGUGCAAACAAUGAAGCAAGGUGGUACCGCGAUAUGAAUUCGCCCCUGUA
rnacentral:ncRNA from 1 species